UACGUAGGUGGCAAGCGUUGUCCGGAUUUAUUGGGUUUAAAGGGUGCGUAGGCGGUGACUUAAGUCAGUUGUGAAAUACGGCAGCUUAACUGUCGAGGUGCAAUUGAUACUGGGACACUUGAGUACUGAUGAGGUAAGCGGAAUGGACGGUGUAGCGGUGAAAUGCUUAGAUAUCGUCCAGAACACCGAUAGCAGAGCACUUACUAAGGAGUAACUGACGCUGAGGCACGAAAGUGUGGGGAUCAAACAGG
rnacentral:rRNA from 1 species